CAAUAGCGUAUAUUAAAGUUGUUGCAGUUAAAAAGCUCGUAGUUGGAGUUCAGAUUGAGCUCGGCCGGUCGGCCUAAUUGGUCAGAACUGGUUGACUCUGUCUUGUUUGUGGAUCCCUCCGGAGUUAACUCUUCGGAUGUGGAGUCCACAUCGUUUACCUUGAAAAAUUAGAGUGUUUCAAGCAGGCACACGCCUUGAAUACAUUAGCAUGGAAUAAUAAGAUAGGACCUCGGUUCUAUUUUGUUGGUUUCUAGAGCUGAGGUAAUGAUUAAUAGGGAUAGUUGGGGGCGAUUCGUAUUUAACUGUCAGAGGUGAAAUUACUUGGAUUUGUUAAAGACGGACUACUGCGAAAGCAUUUGUCCAAGGAUGUUUUCUAUUGAUCAAGAACGAAAGUUAGGGGAGUCGAAGAUGAUUAGAUACCAU
rnacentral:rRNA from 1 species